rnacentral:rRNA from 1 species
AUCAAAAACAUCGCCUUUGGAAAAUUAUCAAAAGGUCCUGCCUGCCCGGUGAUUUAAAAAUUAAACGGCUGCGGUACUCUGACCGUGCAAAGGUAGCAUAAUCAUUAGCCUGUUAAUUUCAGGCUGGCAUCAAUGGCAAGAUGAAGGAAAAGCUGUCUCUUUCUAUUAUUUUAGAAUUUUUCUUUUUGGUGAAGAGACCAAAAUAUGAAAGUGGGACGAGAAGACCCUAUUGAGUUUAAGUUGAUUGAUAGAAUUUUAAUUUUUAUUGAAAAACUUUGGUUGGGGCAACUGUUUAUAAAAUUAAACAUAAUAAAAUUGAAAUUGAAUUAAAUCUAAAAGUGUAAAUACCCAGGAUUAUUCUGGAAUUAAAAAUAAUUACCAUAGGGAUAACAGCGUAAUUCUUUUCGAGAGUACAUAUUGACAAAAGAGUUUGCGACCUCGAUGUUGGAUCAAGUUUUCCUGGAGGUGCAGCAGUUUCUAAGGGUUGG